GGCCAGACUCCUACGGGAGGCAGCAGUGGGGAAUAUUGCACAAUGGGGGGAACCCUGAUGCAGCGACGCCGCGUGGGCGAGGAAGUAUUUCGGUAUGUAAAGCCCUAUCGGCAGGGAAGAAGAAAUGACGGUACCUGACUAAGAAGCCCCGGCUAACUACGUGCCAGCAGCCGCGGUAAUACGUAGGGGGCAAGCGUUAUCCGGAUUUACUGGGUGUAAAGGGAGCGUAGACGGCAAUGCAAGUCUGGAGUGAAAGGCGGGGGCCCAACCCCCGGACUGCUCUGGAAACUGUAUAGCUGGAGUGCAGGAGAGGUAAGUGGAAUUCCUAGUGUAGCGGUGAAAUGCGUAGAUAUUAGGGGGAACACCAGUGGCGAAGGCGGCUUACUGGACUGUAACUGACGUUGAGGCUCGAAAGCGUGGGGAGCAAACAGGAUUAGAUACCCCGGUA
rnacentral:rRNA from 1 species